rnacentral:rRNA from 1 species
GACGUAGGAGGCGAGCGUUGUCCGGAUUCAUUGGGCGUAAAGAGCACGCAGGCGGUUUGGCAAGUCGGAUGUGAAAACCCGAAGCUCAACUUCGGGCCUGCAUCCGAAACUGCCCGACUAGAGGUAGGUAGGGGAGAUCGGAAUUCCUGGUGUAGCGGUGAAAUGCGCAGAUAUCAGGAGGAACACCGGUGGCGAAGGCGGAUCUCUGGACCGUAACUGACGCUGAAACACGAAAGCGUGGGUAGCAAACAGG